GUGGGGAAUAUUGGGCAAUGGGGGAAACCCUGACCCAGCAACGCCGCGUGAAGGAAGAAGGUUUUCGGAUCGUAAACUUCUAUCCUUGGUGAAGAUAAUGACGGUAGCCAAGAAGGAAGCCCCGGCUAACUACGUGCCAGCAGCCGCGGUAAUACGUAGGGGGCAAGCGUUGUCCGGAAUGAUUGGGCGUAAAGGGCGCGUAGGCGGCCUGGUAAGUCUGGAGUGAAAGUCCUGCUUUUAAGGUGGGAAUUGCUUUGGAUACUGUCGGGCUUGAGUGCAGGAGAGGUAAGCGGAAUUCCCGGUGUAGCGGUGAAAUGCGUAGAGAUCGGGAGGAACACCAGUGGCGAAGGCGGCCUGCUGGACAUUAACUGACGCUGAUGAGCGAAAGCGUGGGGAGCAAACAGGAUUAGAUACCCCUGUAGUCC
rnacentral:rRNA from 1 species